rnacentral:rRNA from 1 species
AUUGAACGCUGGCGGCAGGCCUAACACAUGCAAGUCGAGCGAGCGGCGGACGGGUGAGUAAUGUCUGGGAAACUGCCUGAUGGAGGGGGAUAACUACUGGAAACGGUAGCUAAUACCGCAUACUAUCAGAUGUGCCCAGAUGGGAUUAGCUAGUAGGUGGGGUAAUGGCUCACCUGGGCGACGAUCCCUCGCUGGUCUGAGAGGAUGACCAGCCACACUGGGACUGAGACACGGACCAGACGCCGACGGGAGGCAGCAGUGGGGAAUAUUGCACAAUGGGCGCAAGCCUGAUGCAGCCAUGCCGCGUGUAUGAAGAAGGCCUUAGGGUUGUAAAGCACUUUCAGUCGGGAGGCGUGACCGACAGAAGAAGCACCGGCUAACUCCGUGCCAGCAGCCGCGGUAAUUC